UCUUUAUCAGUUGUUGGCGGAGGUAGAUGCGUGAAGCCUUUGUCACCUUUUGCUUCUGUAAAUUCAUGGUUAUAUUUUGUUGGAAGAAGGUUUUAGUAUUCAUGCAGUUACAAACACCAGAAUGGGGAGUGUGUGAUGUAUGUUUAAGUGGAAAUACCAAGGAUCCCAUUGAUCCUGGUGAUAUGUAUAUACUCCUGUAUACACAUGAAUAAUUAAUUGGAAAAAUGUAAAUAUAAACAGUAUGAGUGAUCAAUAAGUAUGUUAGAGUUAUCCUGAAAAGAAAAUAAAGACUAUCUGAACUCUGAUGAAA